rnacentral:lncRNA from 1 species
UUUGUGUUUGCUGGCUCUAUGCUUUUGCAUGGAACGGUGAACACCACAAUCCUAGUCAUUUUUCAUCGUGUGCAUUCGGUGUUUGUUUACGUGUUCCUGUUUGUCUUGCCUAUAAAAUGGUAAACAAGUGGCCCGUUAGGUUUUAACCAUCCCAUACCAUUUCUUGGUGUUGCGGUGGCUUUUGAAGUGAUGCGUGUGUGCCGUUUUAGAUGUUGUAUGUGACGUCUCUUGCGGUAUGCAUGUAUUCACUGAUUUCUUGGAGGCGGUACUUGAGAUGACCUUUGGUUU